GAAAUGCGAUAAGUAAUGUGAAUUGCAGAAUUCAGUGAAUCAUCGAAUCUUUGAACGCACAUUGCGCCCGCCAGCACUCUGGCGGGCAUGCCUGUUCGAGCGUCAUUUCAACCCUCAGAACCCCUUGCGGGAUCUGGCGUUGGGGAUUGGCAUCGAGCCAGCCCCGAAAUCUAGUGGCGGUCCCUCCGCGACCUCCCCUGUGCAGUAGCGAUACCUCGCAGCGGGACAGCGGUCUGACCACGCCGUAAAACCCCCAACUUCUCAAGGUUGACCUCGAAUCAGGUAGGAAUACCCGCUGAACUUAAGC
rnacentral:misc_RNA from 1 species